rnacentral:tRNA from 2 species
GGGGCGGUAGCUCAGUUGGCUAGAGCGCUACGCUGACAUCGUAGAGGUCGUCAGUUCAAUUCUGGCCCGCCCCACAA